AUACGGAGGGUGCAAGCGUUACUCGGAAUCACUGGGUGUAAAGCGCGCGCAGGCGGUCUUUUAAGUUGGAUGUGAAAGCCUACGGCUCAACCGUAGAACUGCAUCCAAAACUAUUAGACUAGAGUGUGGGAGAGGAAGAUGGAAUUAGUUGUGUAGGGGUAAAAUCCGUAGAGAUAACUAGGAAUACCAAAAGCGAAGGCAAUCUUCUGGAACACUACUGACGCUGAGGCGCGAAAGCGUGGGGAGCAAACAGGAUUAGAAACCCUAGUAGUCC
rnacentral:rRNA from 1 species